rnacentral:rRNA from 1 species
CGGCGUGCCUAAUACAUGCCAGUCGAACGCGAAAGCACUUGUGGCUCGAGUGGGCGAACUGGUGAGUCAUACACUAAUGUAACCUGCCCUAGACAGGGAGGAUAACUAUUGGAAACGAUAGCUAAGACCGCAUUAGGUACGGACACUGCAUGGUGGACCGUAUUGAAAAGUGCCUCAAAGCAUCUGGUAGAGGAUGGACUUACUGGCGCAUCUAGACUGGUUGGCGGGGUAACGGCCCACCAAGGCGACGAUGCGUUAGCCGACCUGAGAGGGUGACCGGCUCACACUGGGACUGAGACACGGCCCAGACUCCUACGGGACGGCAGCAGUAGGGAAUUUUCGGCAAUGGGGGAAACCCUGACCGAGCAACGCCGCGUGAAGGAAGAAGGUUUUCGGAUUGUAAACUUCUGUUAUAAAGGAAGAACGGCGGCUACAGGAAAUGGUAGCCGAGUGACGGUACUUUUAUUAGAAAGCCACGGCUAACUACGUGCCAGCAGCCGCGGUAAUACGUAGGUGGCAAGCGUUAUCCGGAAUUAUUGGGCGUAAAGAGGGAGCAGGCGGCAGCAAGGGUCUUGUGGUGAAAGGCCUGAAGCUUAACUUCAGUAAGCCAUGGAAACCAGGCAGCUAAGAGUGCAGGAGAGGAUCGUGGAAUUCCAUGGUGUAGCGGUGAAAUGCGUAGAAUAUAUGGAGGAACACCAGUGGCGAAGGCGACGAUCUGGCCUGCAACUGACGCUCAGUCCCGAAAGCGUGGGGAGCAAAUAGGAUUAGAUACCCUAGUAGUCCACGCGCGUAACACGAUGAGUACUAAGUGUUGGAUGUCAAAGUUCAGUGCGUGCGAAGCUAACGCAAUGAAGUACCUCCGCAUGGCGGUGUACUUUCGCACGGGAACCAGUUAAGACUGGCGAGUCGUUUUACGGUCAGGAAACAGC